rfam:Schistosoma margrebowiei strain Zambia genome assembly, scaffold: SMRZ_scaffold0001787
AUCCGGUUAAUGAGUCCUGAAUAGAACGAAACGCUCGUCUCGGAU